rnacentral:ncRNA from 1 species
ACGCUCAUCAGACACCACAAAAGGUGUUAGUUCAUCUAGACAGCAGGACGGUGGCCAUGGAAGUCGGAAUCCGCUAAGGAGUGUGUAACAACUCACCUGCCGAAUGAACUAGCCCUGAAAAUGGAUGGCGCUUAAGCGUAUUACCCAUACUCCGCCGCCAGGGUAGAAACGAUGCCCUGGCGAGUAGGCAGGCGUGGGGGUCAGUGACGAAGCCUUGGGAGUGAUCCCGGGUCGAACGGCCCCUAGUGCAGAUCUUGGUGGUAGUAGCAAAUACUCAAAUGAGAACUUUGAGGACUGAAGUGGGGAAAGGUUCCAUGUGAACAGCAGUUGGACAUGGGUUAGUCGAUCCUAAGAGAUAGGGAAACUCCGUUUUAAUGUGCGCACUUGUGCGCCGUCCCUCGAAAGGGAAGCCGGUUAAUAUUCCGGCACCUGGAUUUGGAUUCUCCACGGCAACGUAACUGAACGCGGAGACGACGGCGGGGGCCCUGGGAAGAGUUCUCUUUUCUUCUUAACAGCCUAUCACCCUGAAAUCGGUUUGUCCGGAGCUAGGGUCUGACGGUUGGUAGAGC